rnacentral:rRNA from 1 species
AGCAGCCGCGGUAAUUCCAGCUCCAAUAGCGUAUAUUAAAGUUGUUGCAGUUAAAAAGCUCGUAGUUGAAUUUCGGGGUUAGUAGGUUGGUCGUGCCACUGGUACGUACUGGUCUCACUGAUUCCUCCUUCCUGAUGAACUGUAAUGCCAUUAAUUUGGUGUUGCAGGGAAACUGGACUGUUACUUUGAAAAAAUUUAGAGUGUUUAAAGCAAGCUAACGCUUGAAUACAUUAGCAUGGAAUAAUGAAAUAGGACGUUUGAUUCUAUUUUGUUGGUUUCUAGGAUCGACGUAAUGAUUAAUAGGGAUAGUUGGGGGCAUUAGUAUUCAAUUGCCAGAGGUGAAAUUCUUGGAUUUAUUGAAGACUAACUACUGCGAAAGCAUUUGCCAAGGAUGUUUUCAUUAAUCAAGAACGAAAGUUAGGGGAUCGAAGACGAUCAGAUACCGUCGUAGUCUUAACCAUAAACUAUGCCGACUAGGGAUCGGAUGAUGUCAAAAUUUUUUAAUGACUCAUUUCGGCGC